UUCACAGUUACAUGGGCAAUGGUGCUUUGGCAGCUUAAUGCAUAAGGUUGGGGCUGAAUGUUAUACACUCUUAAGACCCUCUAGUUCAUGAACUUCUCUAAGGGGACCUGUGGUUGGGGUGUAAUAGAAAGCAUUGUUCUCUCCCAACCUUAGAAUUGCCUGUAAGAUCAAGGACUCUGUGCUGAUUCUCCUUAAUUAGUAGAAAAUUCAGACUGGAUAUAAGGAAGACAUUUUUUACUAUCAGGGUGGUGUGGCACUGAAAUAGGUUGCACAAAGAGCUGGUGGGUCCCUUGCCCUCAGAGACACCCAAGGUCAGACUGGAGGGGCUCUGAGCACUGAUGGAGCUAUAGGUGUCUCUGUUCAUUGCAGGGGAGUUGGACGAGAUGGCCUUUAAAGGCCCCCCCAACUCAAACCAUUCUAUGGUUCUAUGAAAAUUAAAUGGAAAAGAUUUCCAGCUGGCGUCAGUGAAAUGUAUAAAGGAAACAAAAAAUUCCGAGAUUGGAUCAUCACUGUUAAAGACAAUUAGCAAAUAAAGACAUAAGCAUGAGAAACUUCAGAAAAGCCUACAGAAAGCCAUGCAACAGCCUUGGAAGGAAGAUGGGAUCUCAGCUUAAGUCCUCCACUUAACACAGAAGUGACGCACUCAAGACUGUGCCCAUAAUUUCUGUUAAUGUAAAGCCACCUCCUCCUCAAAACUCCUCAUUUGGCUGUGAAUUGCAGUUCAGAACUCACCCAAGAUUUCAGGCAGAACUCUUCAGAAACCAGAAGUGGUUUAUUCUUCAUUUCUUAUUUCUUAUAUUCUUAUUCACCUCGGGAGAGCAAGAAGGUCAGGUGGAUCCUGAGAAAUGCAGUCAGACUCCAGAGCUUGACAAGUCCUCGGUGUGCAGGAAAAUCUAAGGGAAAUGCCCACAUUAACUCAUAUUGAUGAUUACCCCAGCAGAGUCUGGACUCUCCCUCGAUUCAGUGAACACACUGGUAUGUAGCAGAGAGCUCUGGAUGGUCGGUGAUGAAAUGCUGGGGUGCUCCUUGGCUCUUGGCUACAAAUGAACAAGGGAAGGUUUUCACACAACCGUCUCACAGGCCAGACAGGCAUCCUGAAGCCAUAUCCUCCAACCCCACCUGUGGUUGCCUGUGAAGGGCAAUGCACCUUGAAUGCUCUCCUCAGUGCACAUGAGGACCUGAUUCUCUAUUCGGACCCACCAAGCAAGUUCAAAGCCUCAGCAGAAGAAAAGGCCAAACAAGAAAUUAUCCCAAGCCUGGCAGCAUUUCCACUUCCUAUAUUUUAUUAUCCACCUCCUCCAGAUGAAGGGAAAUGGAACAGUGAAAGAAAGAAAAGCCAAGGAGAAAAAGGUCUGGGUGCAUAUCCAAGCCACCCAACUGUGACAGUGAAACACCAUACGUGCAAGCUUGAGAAGAUGACCUACAUGAACCUAAUGAGGUCCAGCAAGGCCAAGUGCAAGGUGCCAUGGUAAUCCCAGAUAGUGAGAUGUGGCCUUGGGCAACCUGGUCUGAUGGGGGGCAACCAGAACACAGCAG
ensembl:lncRNA